rnacentral:rRNA from 1 species
UACGUAGGGUCCGAGCGUUUGUCCGGAAUUAUUGGGCGUAAAGGGCUCGUAGGCGGUUUGUCGCGUCGGGAGUGAAAACCAGAGGCUUAACUUCUGGCUUGCUUUCGAUACGGGCAGACUUGAGGCAUGCAGGGGAGAACGGAAUUCCUGGUGUAGCGGUGAAAUGCGCAGAUAUCGAGGAGGAACACCGGUGGCGAAGGCGGUUCUCUGGGCAUGUUUCUGACGCUGAGGAGCGAAAAGUGUGGGGGGAGCGAACAGG